UUUUUCUUUAAUUUUUGGUUUGCAAAUGUUUAGCACCUGAUAAUUGAAUGAAUUUACUUUUUACACAUACAUAACAAAAACAUAUUUCCUUGUGUUAUUUCCUUACUGAUUUGCCAAAAAGAAGUAUUAUAAAUCUAUCUAUCUACCUAUCUGUCUAUCUAAAAGUAUAUCAUAUAUCAUACUUGUCUUUGAAAGAUAACCACUAAUAUAUUUUUCUCAAAUAUUUAAGUUUGCUAAUACUUCCAUGGGGGAUUCAACAGAAAUUGAGACUCAGACAUUAAAAUAUUCAGGGAAAUCAAGCUGGGUGAAUAUACUAGUCCAAAGUGACUCCAGCUCAAAAUUUUGAGGGUAGUGAACAAGAGCAAUUUACUUCUCAAUUUUUCUUAUUCUUUG
rnacentral:lncRNA from 1 species